rnacentral:rRNA from 1 species
GUUAGGAAUCUUCCACAAUGGGGGCAACCCUGAUGGAGCAACACCGCGUGCUGGAUGAAGGCCUUCGGGUCGUAAACAGCUUUUGUAUACGAAGAAUAUGACGGUAAUAUACGAAUAAGGGUCGGCUAACUACGUGCCAGCAGCCGCGGUCAUACGUAGGACCCAAGCGUUAUCCGGAGUGACUGGGCGUAAAGAGUUGCGUAGGCGGCUUAUUAAGCGAGUAGUGAAAUCUGGUGGUUCAACCAUCAACACAUUGCUCGAACUGAUAGGCUUGAGAAUGGUAGAGGUAGUUGGAAUUUCUUGUGUAGGAGUGAAAUCCGUAGAUAUAAGAAGGAACACCAAUGGCGUAGGCAGACUACUGGACCAUUUCUGACGCUGAGGCACGAAAGCGUGGGGAGCGAACCGGAUUAGAAACCCUUGUAGUCC